GAGUAACGCGUGGGUAACCUGCCUUGUACUGGGGGACAACAGUUGGAAACGACUGCUAAUACCGCAUAAGCGCACAGCUUCGCAUGAAGCAGUGUGAAAAACUCCGGUGGUACAAGAUGGACCCGCGUCUGAUUAGCUGGUUGGUGAGGUAACGGCCCACCAAGGCGACGAUCAGUAGCCGGCCUGAGAGGGUGAACGGCCACAUUGGGACUGAGACACGGCCCAAACUCCUACGGGAGGCAGCAGUGGGGAAUAUUGCACAAUGGGGGAAACCCUGAUGCAGCAACGCCGCGUGAGUGAAGAAGUAUUUCGGUAUGUAAAGCUCUAUCAGCAGGAAAGAAAAUGACGGUACCUGACUAAGAAGCCCCGGCUAACUACGUGCCAGCAGCCGCGGUAAUACGUAGGGGGCAAGCGUUAUCCGGAUUUACUGGGUGUAAAGGGAGCGUAGACGGUUUUGCAAGUCUGGAGUGAAAACCCGGGGCUUAACCCCGGGACUGCUUUGGAAACUGUAGGACUAGAGUGCAGGAGAGGUAAGUGGAAUUCCUAGUGUAGCGGUGAAAUGCGUAGAUAUUAGGAGGAACACC
rnacentral:rRNA from 1 species